UGGCGGCGUGCCUAAUACAUGCAAGUCGAGCGAGCUGAAUUCAAAGAUUCCUUCGGGAUGAUUUGUUGGACGCUAGCGGCGGAUGGGUGAGUAACACGUGGGCAAUCUGCCCUAAAGACUGGGAUACCACUUGGAAACAGGUGCUAAUACCGGAUAACAACAUGAAUCGCAUGAUUCAAGUUUGAAAGGCGGCGUAAGCUGUCACUUUAGGAUGAGCCCGCGGCGCAUUAGCUAGUUGGUGGGGUAAAGGCCUACCAAGGCAAUGAUGCGUAGCCGAGUUGAGAGACUGAUCGGCCACAUUGGGACUGAGACACGGCCCAAACUCCUACGGGAGGCAGCAGUAGGGAAUCUUCCACAAUGGACGCAAGUCUGAUGGAGCAACGCCGCGUGAGUGAAGAAGGUUUUCGGAUCGUAAAGCUCUGUUGUUGGUGAAGAAGGAUAGAGGCAGUAACUGGUCUUUAUUUGACGGUAAUCAACCAGAAAGUCACGGCUAACUACGUGCCAGCAGCCGCGGUAAUACGUAGGUGGCAAGCGUUGUCCGGAUUUAUUGGGCGUAAAGCGAGCGCAGGCGGAAUGAUAAGUCUGAUGUGAAAGCCCACGGCUCAACCGUGGAACUGCAUCGGAAACUGUCAUUCUUGAGUGCAGAAGAGGAGAGUGGAAUUCCAUGUGUAGCGGUGGAAUGCGUAGAUAUAUGGAAGAACACCAGUGGC
rnacentral:rRNA from 1 species